CCUACGGGAGGCAGCAGUGAGGAAUAUUGGUCAAUGGACGAGAGUCUGAACCAGCCAAGUAGCGUGAAGGAUGACUGCCCUAUGGGUUGUAAACUUCUUUUAUAUGGGAAUAAAAUGUUCCACGUGUGGGAUUUUGUAUGUACCAUAUGAAUAAGGAUCGGCUAACUCCGUGCCAGCAGCCGCGGUAAUACGGAGGAUCCGAGCGUUAUCCGGAUUUAUUGGGUUUAAAGGGAGCGUAGGUGGAUUGUUAAGUCAGUUGUGAAAGUUUGCGGCUCAACCGUAAGAUUGCAGUUGAAACUGGCAGUCUUGAGUACAGUAGAGGUGGGCGGAAUGCGUGGUGUAGCGGUGAAAUGCUUAGAUAUCACGAAGAACUCCGAUUGCGAAGGCAGUUCACUGGACUGCAACUGACACUGAGGCUCGAAAGUGUGGGUAUCAAACAGGAUUAGAUACCCCAGUAGUC
rnacentral:rRNA from 1 species